CUGAACGCUGGCGGCGUGGCUAAGACAUGCAAGUCGCACGGACGUAGCAAUACGUUAGUGGCGAACGGGUGAGUAAUGAAUCGCUAAUGUGCCCCGGACUUUGGGAUAGCUAUCCGAAAGGAUAGGUAAUACCAGAUGAUAUACCUUUGUCGCAUGACAGGGGUCUCAAAGGUCCGCCGGUCUGGGAGCAGGCGAUUUCGUAUCAGCUAGUUGGUGAGGUAACGGCUCACCAAGGCGAUGACGCGUAGCCGGACUGAGAGGUUGGCCGGCCACAUUGGGACUGAGACACUGCCCAGACUCCUACGGGGGGCUGCAGUAACGAAUCUUCCGCAAUGGGCGAAAGCCUGACGGAGCGACGCCGCGUGUAGGAGAAGCCCUUCGGGGUGUAAACUACUGUCAGGGGUUAAAGGUUCUGAUCAACCCCAGAGGAAGGCACGGCUAACUCUGUGCCAGCCGCCGCGGUAAUU
rnacentral:rRNA from 1 species